AGCGAACGCUGGCGGCAGGCUUAACACAUGCAAGUCGAGCGCCCCGCAAGGGGAGCGGCAGACGGGAGAGUAACACGUGGGAACAUACCUUUUGGUUCGGAACAACUGAGGGAAACUUCAGCUAAUACCGGAUAAGCCCUUACGGGGAAAGAUUUAUCGCCGAAAGAUUUGCCGGCGUCUGAUUAGCUAGUUGGUGAGGUAACGGCUCACCAAGGCGACGAUCAGUAGCUGGUCUGAGAGGAUGAUCAGCCUCACUGGGACUGAGACACGGCCCAGACUCCUACGGGAGGCAGCAGAGGGGAAUAUUGGACAAUGGGGGCAACCCUGAUCCAGCCAUGCCGCGUGAGUGAUGAAGGCCUUAGGGUUGUAAAGCUCUUUUGCCCGGGAAGAUAAUGACGGGACCGGGAGAAUAAGCCCCGGCGAACUUCGU
rnacentral:rRNA from 1 species